ACUCACAAAAAGGACAUGUUUUCUAUAGAAUCUUUUUGAAUAUUUUUUACCCCAUUCCAAGGUUGUGGUACUAUGAGUAUUGACACAAAACUUGGGGCGAAAAUGUCUGUAAAACGCUUGAAGAUGCAUUUUAGACUAUCUCGAUAAUGCUCAUUAACGAGCUUAGUGGACACGACAGGAUAGUGAGGAGUGCUUGAGAAACUGGAUGAUGACUGACCUUGACUGAAUUGGUCUCAUUUAAGAAGGUUGACGGCCUUGUAUUCAUACUUCAAACCUGUUGAAGUAAGAAAGAAUGAAUGAAUUUGACAAUUUGGAUCGAACAUCGAAUUGACCUUUCAAGUUGAGGGCUAUACGGACACGCCACGAGCAGGAGCUCCUGUAAUAGGAACAACUUCAGUUUAGAAUCCUCUUGAUCCUCCUCAGCCACAACCACCAAUUCGCCACAACCACUACCACUACCACCACCAGUUGUGUCGUUGUCCUUAAUCUUCUUCUCCUGCAAUCAUUUAUCAAUUCAAAACCCCUGGCCUCAAUUCAAUUCAAAAUACCUAAAAUAGUACCAGUACCACGUACUCACCAUGCCGUCCGUCCGUAGUGGUUGUGG
rnacentral:lncRNA from 1 species